AGAGAGCCUUGCAAUGCCAUGCUAGAUUCCUGACCCAUAGGAACUAUACUUCUCCCCUGGACCUUGUUCCCAGGCUCCGUGUGAAGCUGAACACUCCGCAUGAUCUCCCUGCCACCAUAGCAAGCUAUGAAGUUCAUUACACAUGCAGGUAGCAGACAAUACAGCUCUGCUUCCAUUUCUGAGCACCUACGGUAGACUGCCAUUAUUCAGUGUGCCAGCCUGUUUCCAAGCCUACAAUGUAUAGUUCCUCUAGUACGUAAACUCAUUUUUUUUCUCAGAGAGCCAAGUAGAGACACAGGCAGUUUUCUUCUCAAAAUGUGCCAGAAAUUCCAAAACAAUCUCAAAGCAUUAAAGGCUAUGUGCACAAAGUACAUGCAGUUGUAGAGUCCCUCUUUUGCAGAAACUUGCACCUCAGCCCACCAGCAUUUCCUUGGUGCUUCUCCUCCUGACCCUCAUCCUCAUGCACAGACCAUUGGAUAUUACUGCACUCACGUACUUGUGUACUUCUUUCUAACAGCUGACUGAAAUCUUUCCUACAUUUUCAGGGUGAUGGGCAGAAAGUUUUUCUCAGGAAACAUUGUAGGGAAGCUGGCAGGGGACAGUUAUAUAUAUGGGGAGGGUCACAUUCUAUUAUUCAUGGGUUUCCG
rnacentral:lncRNA from 10 species